GACGAACGCUGGCGGCGUGCUUAACACAUGCAAGUCGAACGGAAAGGCCCUGCUUUUGUGGGGUGCUCGAGUGGCGAACGGGUGAGUAACACGUGAGUAACCUGCCCUUGACUUUGGGAUAACUUCAGGAAACUGGGGCUAAUACCGGAUAGGAGCUCCUGCUGCAUGGUGGGGGUUGGAAAGUUUCGGCGGUUGGGGAUGGACUCGCGGCUUAUCAGCUUGUUGGUGGGGUAGUGGCUUACCAAGGCUUUGACGGGUAGCCGGCCUGAGAGGGUGACCGGCCACAUUGGGACUGAGCUACGGCCCAGACUCCUACGGGAGGCAGCAGUGGGGAAUAUUGCACAAUGGGCGGAAGCCUGACGCAGCAACGCCGCGUGCGGGAUGACGGCCUUCGGGUUGUAAACCGCUUUCGCCUGUGACGAAGCGUGAGUGACGGUAAUGGGUAAAGAAGCACCGGCUAACUACGUG
rnacentral:rRNA from 1 species